GCCUCCAUGGUCUAGUAGUAUGAUUCGCCCUUCGGGAUUUAUCCUGUGAGCCUGGCUUACUAAAAUGGGUGAGGUCGUGGGUUCAAUUCCCGCUGGGGGCC
rnacentral:tRNA from 1 species